AUGCAUUAUCUGGUGCCUGGAUGGUAUACAUGUUUAUUGUCUGUUAUGUGUCAUUUCACAAUAUCAGAUCCUUCAAGAUCUUCAAAUACCUCAUUUUGAUAUUCUAUAUCCAUGAAUGUGCUCAGUAACAGUAUUAAAAUAUAUAUAAACCGUCCAAUUUGUU